AUGGAUAGCUUCAGCACCAUGGAUAGCUUAAGCCCCAUGGAUAGCUUCAGCACCAUGGAUAGCUUCAGCACCAUGGAUAGCUUCAGCACCAUGGAUAGCUUCAGCACCAUGGAUAGCUUCAGCACCAUGGAUAGCUUCAGCGCCAUGGAUAGCUUCAGCGCCAUGAUUAGCUUCAGCACCAUGGAUAGCUUCAGCUCCAUGGAUAGCUUCAGUGCCAUGGAUAGCGUCAGCGCCCUGGAUAGCUUCAGCACCCUGGAUAGCUUCAGCACCAUGGAUAGCUUCAGCACCAUGGAUAGCUUCAGCACCCUGGAUAGCUUCAGCACCAUGGAUAGCUUCAGCACCCUGGAUAGCUUCAGCGCCAUGGAUAGCUUCAGCGCCAUGGAUAGCUUCAGCACCAUGGAUAGCUUCAGCACCAUGGAUAGCUUCAGCGCCCUGGAUAGCAUCAGCACCCUGGAUAGCUUCAGUGCCAUGGAUAGCUUCAGCACCAUGGAUAGCUUCAGCGCCAUGAUUAGCUUCAGCACCAUGAUUAGCUUCAGCACCAUGAUUAGCUUCAGCUCCAUGGAUAGCUUCAGCGCCAUGGAUAGCUUCAGUUCCAUGGAUAGCUUCAGCGCCAUGAUUAGCUUCAGCACCAUGGAUAGCUUCAGCACCAUGAUUAGCUUCAGCACCAUGAUUAGCUUCAGCGCCAUGGAUAGCUUCAGUUCGAUGGAUAGCUUCAGCGCCAUGGAUAGCUUCAGCUCCAUGGAUAACUUCAGUGCCAUGGAUAGCUUCAGCACCAUGAUUAGCUUCAGCACCAUGGAUAGCUUCAGCUCCAUGGAUAGCUUCAGUGCCAUGGAUAGCUUCAGCGCCAUGGAUAGCUUCAGUGCCAUGGUUAGCUUCAGCGCCAUGAUUAGCUUCAGCGCCAUGGAUAGCUUCAGCGCCAUGGAUAGCUUCAGCACCAUGGAUAGCUUCAGCACCGUGGAUAGCUUCACCGCCAUGGAUAGCUUCAGCACCCUGGAUAGCUUCAGCGCCAUGGAUAGCUUCAGUGCCAUGGAUAGCUUCAGCGCCCUGGAUAGCUUCAGCACCCUAGCUUCAGCGCCAUGGAUAGCUUCAGCACCAUGA
ensembl:lncRNA